AUGUGUCAAUAAUGGUUGAUUCCUAAAUUAUUUCUGAUCAUAGGAUCAUCAUAGGGAUGAUGAUUAAUCCGGAUAGACCAGUACACGGAUCACUUCCUUCGGACAGAUAAAUCUUGAUUCUGCAGUGUAGAGACACUAGAGCGAGAGUGCAGAUGGUUAUUGGAGAACAACUAGCACUGAACGUAACCAACAUGAGAAGUCAUAUGAAUAUCUGCUCACUUGUUAGUGACUUUCUCGAUGCUG
rnacentral:lncRNA from 1 species